rnacentral:rRNA from 1 species
UACAGAGGGGGCAAGCGUUAUUCGGAAUUACUGGGCGUAAAGGGCGCGUAGGCGGCCUUGUCAGUCAGGCGUGAAAGCCCCGGGCUCAACCUGGGAACGGCGCUUGGGACGGCGAGGCUGGAGUUCGGGAGAGGAGAGUGGAAUUCCCAGUGUAGAGGUGAAAUUCGUAGAUAUUGGGAAGAACACCGGUGGCGAAGGCGGCUCUCUGAACCGACACUGACGCUGAGGCGCGAAAGCGUGGGGAGCAAACAGG